rnacentral:tRNA from 1 species
AGAAGUUUAGGUUAUCACUUAAACCUGAAGCCUUCAAAGCUUCCCAAAAAGGAGUACCCUUUAACUUCUG